UCUCGUGGCCAUAGCUCGGUGGAACCACCCCUUCCCAUCCCGAACAGGACCGUGAAAUGCCGACGCGCCGAUGAUAGUUACUUAACUGUAGCGAAAGUAGGUUGCUGCGAGAC
rfam:Bacterium 2013Arg42i strain 2013Ark11 genome assembly, chromosome: I